AAGUGGGGAUAGUAGCGUGGGGGUUCCCCUGGGAGGGGGAGACCCAGUUAUAGAAAGGGGGCACCGGGUCCAGGGAGGGACGCCGGGGCCAGAGAACAGGCGGGUCACCAGCCUGCUGAGGGCGCUCCCGGGGCAGAAUUGCGGGACAAUCUGGGCCCAACCAGCAGGAGGCGCGGCAGGGGAAAUGACAAUGACAACUGAGCAGAGUGAAGCAGUAGACAUAAUCUACUUGGACUUCAAGAAGCCGUUUGCUACAGUACAGCAUCAAAGACCAGUGUAUAAGUGCUGAAUGUCUUGAACUCUGUUCUGUGUCACAAAUACCAGAAGUCCCUUUUGGAGAAUGCAGACUACAUAGCCAGCGUGUAGCAUGAGCUCUUAAGUGCAUGCAGCUGGAGGGAAAGUGAAGGACUAUUUUAAAAUAAUGGAUAAUAUUUGUGAGGCUUCAGAGGUGAAGAUAUGUACUCUCUAGGGAGAAGUGGUGGAAGCGAAAAGAAGAGAACAGCUCAAAUGAGGGUUCCUGGAAGUACAAUGGCUUCUGGAUAAAAUGGAGAGCAGCAAUAUUUGCUGCAUCUGUAGCAAAGCCCAUCGUCUCCUCAUUUCCUUUGCCCCGUUCCUGCCCUCAGUAACCAGCCAGGCACAAUGCAGAUGCUCAUUGGGGUGGUGGGAGGACUCCAAUAGCUGGAAUCCUUACCCAGAUCACCCAGACCCUGCGUGCUGCCAGGUGGGAAGCUUGCACAGACCUGACCUUCAUGACUUUCAUGUGAUAUGCAAAACUAGAUCCAGUUCUUACAGAGCUGGACUGAACUGAUUCAACUGCCCGAGGAGCCUCCAUACCUAUGGAGGAGAAGGCUGGAUUUGCAACUCACUGUGAUGGGUUUAAUUUUUGAUAGUAGUUGUCUGUUAUCCAAAUAUUUUAGUUACAUAUGAAGAGUUUAUUGUUUCUUCUCAUAGAUGGAUUUCAAGUACAUGAACUGGAUCUGAAUUUUGACUAAUCAGAUGUAUCUGGGUCCAGGUUUUGGUAUUGCCUGUUGUACUAUAAAGAAAUUCAUUGUCCUCUUCUCCUUGAAGUUCUCUCAUUAACCUAACUCGACAUCUCCCACGUAUGAUUUAGAAAGGGCACUCCAAUGUUAAAACAAACAGGAAGGAAUACAGUGAUUGGAAUUCAUUAUGUAAGAAUGAUUUCAGUAAGUUUAUAAUUUACAUAUUCAGCUGACUUCCCAGUACAGAAUAACUUUCUGAGAACAGUUGUUUGUGAAUCUGUUUGCUGUAGGAGAGUGGAAAUCAGACACACUGUACUGCGCAAUGGGUUUUUGAUAGUCAAAGUACAAAAAGCCCUUAUGGUUAAACCUUCCCUAAUUAAUGAAAAUUUGUUCAGUGAACAAAUACAGAUAUGUAUUUACCAGUUACGGCAACAGUUGAAAAAUUGGGAAAAUAUGUUCACAGCUGGGAUGAUACCACCAACUAGAUUUGCACUAAUUUGUAACAUAGAACUUAUUUAAUUUUGCAUCUCUUAUUUGCACGUAGUCCAUGAUCAGAUUGAGAUGCUUUUGUUAUUCAAAGUAAUUAUUGGUCUGUAGACUAUUCAUGAGCAGAGUAUUCAACAUGCAAGCUGUAUUGGUUAAUUUUUGAUUGAUAUGCUGUUUGUCUUCAUAUGUUUCUGUUCCUUUAUUGGAGGAGUAUCUCUUAGGUGUAAUCUAAAUACAUUUGUUAUACCAGUGUAACUAUGUUGGCUAGGGUUGUUAUAAAAUUUUUUUUAACACCAGUCUAGUGAUACUGGUAUAAGGCUUUAGGGUGGAUUCAGGUUUCUUGUACAUGCAUAAUUUAUUUUCCUGUACAUGAAUAGCUAUACUGUAUAACUGCGUCUGCUCUAGAGAUUAGUACUGGUUAAACUAUACUGGUAUAAUCAAAGAGGUACAACUUUUCUGUGUAGACAAGGUCUUGGAAUCAGGUUUCUGGUAUGAAUACUCAGGCCUGCUCCACACUAGAAAAAUAGGUUGGUAUAACUACAUCACUCAGGGGUGUGAAAAAUCCACACCCAGGACCAAUGCAGUUAAACUAACCUAACUCCCGGUGCAGACAGUGCUAGAUUGACAGGAAAACAUUCCCAUUGACUUAGCUACCUCCUUUCGGGAAGGCGGAGUACCUAUGCCUAAGGGAGAAGCCCUCCCGUCAGCAUAGGUAGUGACUUUACUGAAGCACUACAACAGCACAGGUGCAGCUGUGGCACUGCAGCAUUUUAAUUGUAGACAAGCCCUCACAUGUACAAAUAUAGGCACUGAUUCAAGAAAGAUCACUAUUCUGGAUGGCAGGUAAGUAUGUGCUUUCCUGAACUGGGACCUGAAAAAUCACUUUCCAUAAAUACCCACUUAAAAUUUGCUGAUUAUGAAUGGUCUUGCUGGCAAACUCGUGCUCUAGAAUAAUCACCAGAAGCAAACACAAAGGGUAUAAAUACAGCCAGAAUAAAUCUGUUUGACAAGUAUAUCCCGACUUUUUUUUUUGCAUUGUUUGCCCAGUUCUAUUAAAGAUGUCGAAAUAUUACUGAGGCUUUCAGAGAGGUGAUGGAUUAUUUUACUACUUUGUUUAGUAAAUUGAUGCAUUUUAUAUCAUGCGAGGAAUAAACAGGGACUUUACAGCAUUGUCCUAAUAAAUAAUGAGGAUAACCAUUAACCAGGGAAACCAAAUUAAUCUAUUUGUAUAUGUAAUUAAGGCUGUGACAGAGCCAUUGAAUGUGAGGUAAACCAAUAUUUUCUUUGGAAAUUUCUUGGCUUUCUAAGACAGCUGUAAUUUUCAUGAAAG